ACCAUUCCUUCACUCCAUGAUUGGUAGAGACUGCUUUUAUUUGGGUUUUGCUUGUUUUUACUCUCCCUAGAAUUUUCAUAUUCAAUAUGAUUCAGCACAGGGCUAAUUUUCAUACAUUAUCUCAUUCAUUGCUUAGAAUAGCAUUAUGAAGUAAGCAUUGUUUGAUGUGAAGAAGGAAACUUUUAAGAAAUUAAAGAUUUUCCUUAGGUAACAGAGUUAAUAAGUAAGUCAGAAUUUAAGCCCAUGUUUUCUGUUCCAAAGCCCAAGGUCUGGGAAACUUUUCAAGAUGUCAAGAACAUGGUUUGGACAUCUUGCCUUUGUUUCCAACAUAUAACAGAUAAAUAGAGAAAAUAUUAAAUGAGGUCAUGUAAAAGUGACGUCAAAAACAAGCCAGGUCCUUCUGUGGACGAGAGAUAGAAUAGAAAUAGGAAGUGGGCAUCAGCUGCACCAGUUGGUUUUUUGGAAUAAGAGGCAAGCAUUUCCCUAUCUCUAAGGUAACUAGGUUCCACACUUGCCCCCACAAGGAGUGAAAAUCAGUGCCACAUUUGCUGAUUAAAACUUGAGUGUAAGACAACAGAAAAGCUGAAUAGCUGACCAACCGCAGAGCCAUGGUUUACAUAGAGCUACUUAGCAGGGAGGCUAGAGACAGCAGCCAUAAUCUGGCCAUCAGCGCCUGAAACAAACUGUUAUUUGACUUGAUGACUAGAUAUAUGAUAUCCCCAUUAUCCGAGAGUCUGAUCUGGGGAUGGAGACUAUGCAGGGCCAACUCUAGGAUCCUAAGAGUGGUAGAGGUAACAAAGAAAGAGAGAGAGAAUUUUUAAAAAUCCCUCUCAUUCAAGUUGAGACUGAAAACCAAAAUUCCAAGACAUGCAAAAUCAUAUAAAAAGCCUGCCAGAAAAAUUUUAAAAAGUUAGUCAAUGCAGUCAUUCCUGAUGACAUGAAAAUAAUAGAUCAAUUCCAGAUUUUUGUAAAAACCAUGUUAGUGGUCUUAAAGAGACAAAGUAAGAAAGUAACAUCAAUACAAUUUAUAAGAAAGUAAAGGUAAGCAGAUAAGGUGAGUGGCAUAAGAAAAUAAUCAAUUAGAUUCCCAGGGAAAAAUAUAAUGGAAAAAAAUUCCAGAGUGGAUAUAGUCAAAACAAGAAUUAGUAAACUGGAAGAUAUUUCUUGAGUAAAUCACAAAAAAAAUGCAGCACAGAAAGAUUACAUAACAUACUAUGAAAGAAUUCAAGAAAUAUGUAUGAUAUACUGUGAAGAUUCAACAUACAUAUAUUAGGAUGUUCCAGAAAAAGAGAUUAGAGCUAAAGGGAAAAGGAACCAUGUUUGAGAAGAAAAUUCUGUAGAGUCCUAAGAUCAAAGUGGCUAGAAAAAAUGGACAACCACUAUGCAGAAUAAUAAAGGAGAAUAAUAAAAACCACACGGCUACUCUCUAGGAAAGCCUUUGAGGAUUCAUAAUUUGUCAGAGAUGAUAGAAUCUAAUUCUCCAGAUUCUUUCCUAUAUUUUGAUAGAAUAAAUCAUCUCUUAAAACAAAUUGAUGAGUGUAAUUGAAAAGAGGAUACAGGCAAUAUGAUAUUUAUACUCAGUAGAGAAGGCAUAAAUUCACUGCAACAGAUGUCUAGUGCUACCAGCACACAGGAAAAAAACCCCAGAAAUUUAGUGACCAUGAGAUUUAAAGAAGUAAGUCAAAGAAUAUAAGAGAGAUGACUAUAUUAAUCUGUAAAUAUAGUUCCAUUGUUUCCUAUUAAUCUAGUACAGAAUUUAAACAUCCAUGCAAAAUUAGUCUUACAUAAGUAUGUUUAUAUAUAUUCAUAUUCUUUUUAAAAGCAUGGUUUUAAAGUAAUGCUAUGAUUGAUUAUGGUUUUUAAAAGAUGACUUCACCUCAGUAACCAAUCAAUAAGUAAAUAAAAAUGCAAAAGACUGAAGAUAACAGUUUAAGAUAAAUGUUAGUAAAAUUUAGCAGUAGCUCUUUUUUCUUUUAUGACAAUGUAUGAACUUAGAACAAACCCCAUUCCUUUGCAGCCCCUCCCCAUAGCAGGGUAACUUCCUGAGUUGUUGUUAGUACACAACUGAGGAGAAUAAUGAAGUUCUCUUUAAUUUUUGGUCUCUGGAUCGGUUUGGAGGGAAUAGGUAUGCAGUAAACAUUUUUUUAAAAAUAAUCUUUGUAGCAAAGGGAAAAAUUUUCAAAAGGCUCAUUUUUUUGUCAAAGCUGUUCAUAAAUCCUCAGUCACGCCUUAACUGCACUUACUGAGACACAUUAGAAGAAAAACCCAAACAAUUUACAUCUCCGGUUUUGACCAUUCAUAUCAAGAUCACAACAAAAGACCUUAUUAAAAACACUUUGGGUAAUGUUGACAAGAACAUCAUUUGAAAAGCCCCAAAAUGUUCAUGCAAAUAAAAACUUCAACAUUUUCUCUUAAAAAAAAAAGGAAAGGUUUUCACUUUCCUAUGGCACUAGUAAACAGCUAGGAACUGUGUAUGUGGGCAAAGAAAGAAUGAAUGUAACAGGUGAUGAGCAUAAUGAACUUGUUCUCUUAGAAAGGAAUUUGCCAGCCACAUUUUGCAAUUGUUGAAAGAAGCUUAUAUCAAAUCACAAGCAGAGCUCAAAAAUAAGUAUCCUUCUUUUAGAUAGUUUUGUGUUAAAGUCAAGAUUAUUACUUAGUUCUACAACAGCUAAGUUCUCCAUAAAUAUUUAGCAAAGAAGAGAGCUAAGUAAUAUUUCAAAACUGCUGUAUAAGCGAAAACAUAUUCAUUCUCCCUGAAAAGCUUUCCUCCCUUUAUUGUAAAGUUUUUAUAACUUCACAAUUACUCCAAUAUAUUUCAUCCAUUUAUUAAUUUACUUUAUGAAACAGAAACUAUAAAUCUUAAAAUAUAAGAAGCUUAGUUUAGUAUAUUUCAUUUUUAAAUGAUUAUUCAAAAUGGGUAUUACAGAGGUGCUCUUUAAAAAGUUUAAAUGAAUAUGAAACACAAUAACAAUGCAGACCUCUAUAUUCUAUCAAAUCAGCAGGAUGGAAGACAUAGUUUUCACUUCAUUCAUUUGGUAACAUCUAAUGCAGUCACUUUGUUAAUAAAAAUGCUUUUUAAACAAAGUCAACAAUAGCGAUAAUAUUUGGAACUCAUUAAAAUUAUAAUACUGAAUUUGCAGUUUUUGCAGAAGAAUCUCUUCUGUAACAUUCUAGUAAUACUUCCCCUAGAUUCUGAUUUUUUUUUUAAAGAAACACAUUUAAAAUAGGACUAUAAGUAUGGCUAAACUAAGAAUUAAGCACGAUUUACUCUCAGGUAUUUUUCCCCAGGAAAAGCAAGCUUACUAAUUGCCAAGAUAUUUGCACUGAAAUAAAAACCACUUGGUAUUGUUUCGAGAUAAUUAUUAUUUUAAAAAAAAUGUGCAAAAUUUCUGCAGUGAAAUGUGAUCAAACAAGACAGAAAGAAACAAAAGAAGUUUGCAUGCUGCUUCUCGAAAGAAGCUUAAAUAAUCCUUUGCCAGGAAUAACAACCAUAAACUAUAAGAAGGCAACUAUUGGAAUCAAAACACACUUACUUUUUAAUAUGUAAAGAUGCACUUUUUCCCUAUUUUAGAUUAAAAAUAAGAGGACAACCCAGUGAGUCUUGCUGGCAGUCAGAUAACACACAGGCCCUGACCCUUUAACUCUCUGGAAUUCUCACACAAAGCUCUUUUCAUACAGACUGUGCUAUAUAUUCCUGAGAUAAGGCGGCAAAAUGUGAAGCCGUGGAGAAGUGACACAAAGUUGGACUAAGUGAAAUGUUUACAUGUAUUGUCACACCGCUGUUCCUUCAUUACCUAUUCCACCCCUGAUUUGCCUAAAACAAUAUUUAUUCAGGUUGGAGAGACGCAUGAUUUAAACAAAAGGACAAUUUUAAGAAAAAGGACACCAAGACAAUACAAAUAUUGUGUUUCUCUGUUAGCAUUGCCAAGUUUAAUGUGAGAUCAAGCAGAAACAAAACCAGAUCACUUAGAACUUUUAAGAAAGGCUCCUGCUAUCAUUCCCUUCAAAGCACAACAGAUUUCUCUACUUGUUUUACAACACAGAAAGUAGACUUUAAGUAAUAUCUUAAAUCUGCACUCACCAUGCGAAAGCAACGGUUGCGUGGCGUAAAAGUGUGCUAUUUUCUGCCCCUGUUCCAUUUCAGUUUU
ensembl:lncRNA